AUUGAACGCUGGCGGCAUGCCUUACACAUGCAAGUCGAACGGUAACAGGUCUUCGGAUGCUGACGAGUGGCGAACGGGUGAGUAAUACAUCGGAACGUGCCCGAUCGUGGGGGAUAACGAAGCGAAAGCUUUGCUAAUACCGCAUACGAUCUACGGAUGAAAGCAGGGGACCGCAAGGCCUUGCGCGAACGGAGCGGCCGAUGGCAGAUUAGGUAGUUGGUGGGAUAAAAGCUUACCAAGCCGACGAUCUGUAGCGGGUCUGAGAGGACGAGCAGCCACACUGGGACUGAGACACGGCCCAGACUCCUACGGGAGGCAGCAGUGGGGAAUUUUGGACAAUGGGCGAAAGCCUGAUCCAGUCAUGCCGCGUGCAGGAUGAAGGCCUUCGGGUUGUAAACUGCUUUUGUACGGAACGAAAAGACUCUGGUUAAUACCUGGGGUCCAUGACGGUACCGUAAGAAUAAGCACCGGCUAACUACGUG
rnacentral:rRNA from 1 species